AAUGAACGUUGGCGGCGUGGAUUAGGCAUGCAAGUCGAGCGAGAACCCAGCAAUGGGGGACAGCGGCGAAAGGGACAGUAAUGUGUAGAUCAUCUGCCCUCAGGUCCGGGAUAGCUGCGGGAAACUGCAGGUAAUACCGGAUAACAUCUCCGGAUCAAAGGUGUGAUUCCGCCUGAGGAUGAGUCUACAUCCUAUUAGCUAGUUGGUGGGGUAACGGCCUACCAAGGCGAUGAUGGGUAGCGGGUGUGAGAGCACGACCCGCGUCAUUGGGACUGAGACACUGCCCAGACACCUACGGGUGGCUGCAGUCGAGAAUCUUCGGCAAUGUGCGCAAGCCUGACCGAGCGACGCCGCGUGCGGGAUGAAGGCCUUCGGGUUGUAAACCGCUGUCAGAGGGGAUGAAAUGCAGGUGGGUUCUCCCAUCUGUUUGACAUAGCCUCAGAGGAAGGACGGGCUAAGUUCGUGCCAGCCGCCGCAGUAACAC
rnacentral:rRNA from 1 species